rnacentral:lncRNA from 1 species
UGGAAAUGUAGUCUGCAUCAGGGAAGCUAUGAGCUCUGCUAAAGCUUGAGUGAUACUAAAAACAAGGAGAGAAUGGACACUGGGCAUCAUUCAUGGUUCGUGUCACAGGGAUCACCUCAAUGCUGCCGAAGAUCCACGGCAGCUUUAUUUCCCCCAAACACCUCAGCAGCGUUUCUGUUCCCAAGGAAUAGCAGGAUUCCAGAGAAAAGCCCCCAGGGCAACCAGCUCUGAGGCAGGAAGAAGCCUCUUGGAAUUGCUUUCAUGUAGACUUUUUGAUGCUGCCUAAAAAUGAGGUACUUCUUGGGGGUGACUUCCCAAAUCAACUAUUUGUCCUGACAUCAUUGUCUCUGACUCUACUUCUGAUGAACUCAGACCAAGAAACCUGGGUUGAUUGGUUCUCCUUACUGUCUCCAGAGAGAAGAUCUGACAACCAAGGCAGAGGACUCCAAACUGGGAAAGAGCAGGAAGCUGCGUCUUAUUGUCACUGUAGUUCCAGCACCUGGCAUAGUACCACACACGGGACAGGUGGAUACGUGCCCAGAAAGUAUUCCAUUAGAUUGAGUUAAUUAAUUAAAGUGUAUUCUCUCAUCAACUUGCUGUGUGAUUUUGGGCAAGUCACUUUACCUCUCUGAGCCACAUUUUCACCAUCUCCAAAUACAUCACCUACUUAGAAGAUGCAAUGAGAUAACAGCUGUGAAUGAGCUUUGUGAUUCUAACACCUUCUGAAUCUUAAGGGGUGAAUGAUUAGAAAGCUGCCUCUUAUUCUUGUUGCUGCUUUUCGAAAUGCCCAAAUGGGAACAUUUUAAUGGCUAAAAGGCAGCACCAAUUUUCUCAUUGAAAUUCUUUUAUUCGACAAAGUGGAUAAUCUUAGUGGAAGGAAUAUACAUUAUACUUUCUGUAAGAUGCAUUAAAGUUGUUUUCAUUUUGAAUUAAACAUGCUGUUUCUGAAUAUUUGUUCUGAAUUGGUCUUGUGCCCAAAAAA